rnacentral:tRNA from 1 species
GGAGUUGUGGCUCAGUGGUAGAGUGUGCACUUUGUAUGUGUGAGGCACUGGGUUCGAUCCCUCAGCACCA